UCCUCGACACUACACUUAGAAAAAAAACUCUCACUCUCGAAACUCUUUCAGAGAAACUCUCACUCUCAUUUCUUCGAAUCGCGAUGACUCUGUCCAGCCAAACCUCCGACUGUCGUCUUUCACGUCCCGUCAAUUUGAAUCUGCCUGACCCACAAAAUGAAUCUCUGUCGAUGAUUUAUAUUGACUCUUCCUCAUUUCAUAUCUCGUCUCUGCUCUCAAAUCCCAAGCUUCCCCUGUAAUUUGAACCCCUUAUUUUACGUUUCAACCUCGAAAAAUCCAAACUUUUCUGUAAUUUGAAGACUUUGUGAUUCUUGACUUUCAUCUUUGUUUAAUGGACAAUUAGGGUUUUCACGGAGCUUCCCGGAUCUUUGAAAUCGACUUUGUUCACAGAGUCACCUCAGUUUAGAGUGGAUUUGGGAUCAGGAAAACUUUUGGAGAAGUUGAAGAACAUGUCAAGAUAGGUCGAAGAUGAUGUUUGGCUUACAGAGAAAGCCACAGCCAAGCACACUCUUAGACAAAGCUCAUGAUGUACAAAUUUAUUUCAGAGCGGAAGGUACUUGAAGAAAUGAGUUGCUCUGGAAACAUUAGUGGGAACUACUUAGGCUUCAUUGCUCAAUGAUGGAAUACAAAGCAAUCGAGAAUGUGCAACAAACCAUUUAUUAUGUAGCUGUUCAUUUUUUUUCUUCUAAUUAUGUUUUUUGUGGAGGAUGGAGUAUUCUUAUUUUUAAUU